rnacentral:rRNA from 2 species
CGUUGAGUUUGAACGAGUCUGAGGGAGCUUGCUCCGAAGAUUAGCGGCGGACGGGUGAGUAACACGUGGGCAACCUGCCUGUAAGACUGGGAUAACUUCGGGAAACCGGAGCUAAUACCGGAUAAUCCUUUUCUACUCAUGUAGAAAAGCUGAAAGAUGGCUUCGGCUAUCACUUACAGAUGGGCCCGCGGCGCAUUAGCUAGUUGGUGAGGUAACGGCUCACCAAGGCGACGAUGCGUAGCCGACCUGAGAGGGUGAUCGGCCACACUGGGACUGAGACACGGCCCAGACUCCUACGGGAGGCAGCAGUAGGGAAUCUUCCGCAAUGGACGAAAGUCUGACGGAGCAACGCCGCGUGAGUGAUGAAGGUUUUCGGAUCGUAAAACUCUGUUGUUAGGGAAGAACAAGUACCGUUCGAAUAGGGCGGUACCUUGACGGUACCUAACCAGAAAGCCACGGCUAACUACGUGCCAGCAGCCGCGGUAAUACGUAGGUGGCAAGCGUUGUCCGGAAUUAUUGGGCGUAAAGCGCGCGCAGGUGGUUUCUUAAGUCUGAUGUGAAAGCCCCCGGCUCAACCGGGGAGGGUCAUUGGAAACUGGGAGACUUGAGUGCAGAAGAGGAAAGUGGAAUUCCAAGUGUAGCGGUGAAAUGCGUAGAGAUUUGGAGGAACACCAGUGGCGAAGGCGACUUUCUGGUCUGUAACUGACACUGAGGCGCGAAAGCGUGGGGAGCGAACAGGAUUAGAUACCCUGGUAGUCCACGCCGUAAACGAUGAGUGCUAAGUGUUAGAGGGUUUCCGCCCUUUAGUGCUGCAGCAAACGCAUUAAGCACUCCGCCUGGGGAGUACGGCCGCAAGGCUGAAACUCAAAGGAAUUGACGGGGGCCCGCACAAGCGGUGGAGCAUGUGGUUUAAUUCGAAGCAACGCGAAGAACCUUACCAGGUCUUGACAUCCUCUGACAAUCCUAGAGAUAGGACGUUCCCCUUCGGGGGACAGARUGACAGGUGGUGCAUGGUUGUCGUCAGCUCGUGUCGUGAGAUGUUGGGUUAAGUCCCGCAACGAGCGCAACCCUUGAUCUUAGUUGCCAGCAUUCAGUUGGGCACUCUAAGGUGACUGCCGGUGACAAACCGGAGGAAGGUGGGGAUGACGUCAAAUCAUCAUGCCCCUUAUGACCUGGGCUACACACGUGCUACAAUGGAUGGUACAAAGGGCUGCAAGACCGCGAGGUUUAGCCAAUCCCAUAAAACCAUUCUCAGUUCGGAUUGCAGGCUGCAAUUCGCCUGCAUGUAGCCGGAGUCGCUAGUAAUCGCGGCUCAGCAACCCUCGGCGUAGACGUAGAUCGUGGUUCAGUACGUCGUAACAAGCUCCCCGUAAGCGUAGAGUUUGAUCCUGGCUCAGUAAGUCGUAACAAGGUCACCGUAAGCGUAGAGUUCGGUG